rnacentral:lncRNA from 1 species
CAACACCCACUGAACCUUCCUGUAGGAAUAAUCCAGCGACAUCACCAUGAAGAAUUUCUCACUUUUUAUUGUCUUGUUCAGAAGCCACAAAUAAAAACCACUAUUUUCAACAAAAUCCAAAACAUGUAUGACUUUUAUAAUGAUAACACCAUGUUCAAUAGUGACUUUUGUGACUCAACAAGACUUGAGUGUUAUGGCGCAUCUCUCCCAGUAAUAAUAAGAACCACAACUACAGCCAACUCUUUAUGGCUCUUUCUCUGUUCAAAUCACACUCAACUCACUAAAUUCUCUGAAUAAUACUGUUCGUUGUCUUCACUCAGCGUGGAAAAACUGAGGCAGGAAAAAUGAUGAACUUUGGACUUUAAAAAACAAACAACAGCAACAAAAUCUCACAGCUUCCAUACAUGCAACUGGAGUGAGGCAAAGGAGGAGAAGGAGGAGAAGGAGGAGGAGGAGGAGGAGGAGGAGGAGGAGGAGGAGGAGGAGGAGGAGGAGGAGGAGGAAAAGAAGAGACCAAAGUCCCUAAAGCAUGACUUUGUGGAUAUCCUUCAGAUAUAAAGACCCAUUAGAUUGAAAGCAAAGACUACAUCAACAGCUGUAUAGAAAAAAAAAUCAGUAUUUUUCAAUGUCCAACCACAGGACUGAAAGAAAUCUUUCUGACGGUUAGUCUACAGGAGUCUGUGGCACAGGAGAAAAGACGGCUCCUAAAGAGGAUAGUGCACCAUAAGAGAGAUGACAGAGUUUUAGAAUCACUUCAUGGUGUCAUCUCAUACUGCUGAAAGGUGUUCUUCACCAAAGAGCAACUUGAAAUAGACUCAGCCUCCUGAAUGGUGCUCCUCUGCCUUAAUUGUUUGGAAGCAGCCAGUCCCUAGAAACAAAGGGAAGUGACUCACGCCCGAGAUGCAGUCCAGCUGGGGUCUGACAGAUAUCACACGAAGUAUGGAAAACUUUGCAGGAAAUAACCCUUCAAAUUUUGAGGAAGUGGCUCCUUAAACACCAUGGUGAUUCCUUGCCAGUAAAACUAUGACUGACACUUGAAUGCUAAGGAUGCUCAAACAAUGUAAUCAAUGUAAGCUGGUGCACAGAACUUUGCAGCAUCAUCUGCCAUCCAUUUCAUCUCCAGUGCAGUGCAUUUCCUUUGAUCAAAGGGUUUCCAGUGGAAACAUAUUCAGCAAUGUCCAGUAAGAAAGACUUGAGCUGCCAGUGUAGUUCCCAUGGAGAAAGCUUGAGUCUCAAUGCAACAAUACAGACUACCUGGGGGGGAGGGGGGGGAUAAAUUUUCCUAAACUGUUAUUCCUACGCUCUAUCUAGCUGUGUGUAUUUGGCAAGCCGAGAUAUUUUCAGAGCCUUUGUGUCUUUGUCAGGAAGGGGAAAGAUGGGUGGGACUUAGAAUGUAUACCAUAAGAAUGAGAGAACCUGUGCAACUGGAUCAGGACGUAGUUUAUCAAGAGGACGAAUUCCACAGGGAGAGAUCACAGUUAUUAAGGGACACUUGGGUGAAUGGGUUUCCUUCAGUUCAUUUACAACCACUAUCAUUCAGAGAGCUAUUAAAAAGUGAAAUUCUGAGCUAGCUUUUCUAUGGAUCUCUUCAAUACUCAGCCCCAAAUUGGCUCUCUUUUUUUUUAAACAACCUCCCCUGCAAUGUAAUUUAGUAAUAACAAUUGUUUUAAUGCAGAAAGUUUCAAGAUUAUUUCUGCUAAGAAUUCUACAAAGCAAUGCUUUGAUAAUCAUGUAUGUAGAGGGUAACAAAUAAGCUACAUUCUUAUUCUUUCCAUUGAGGGCAUAAAUAAUUGUGAAGUUUGGGCUUGACAUGCUCCAUUCAUUAAUCAGUAUUGAUGUCAUGUUUCAUGCUGGGAACACAAAGCCAGCCUGGGCUUAGUUGCUGCUCACAGUCUAACAGGGAAGCCAGGUAAAUCAUAAGACUGACAAAGAGAUGUAUGGGCCUAGGAAAGGCGAGUGCAGAGUGCUAGAGGACCAUGGGAAGAUGCAUUGGCUAUGUAUGACCUACAGAGCUGGGAAAGGCAACAGUCACAGACCUGAGUGGCAAACUGCAGGAAAACAACACAAAAGAAGGUUUUGGACAAAGAGAGCACAUGGUCCAGGCUUCAAGGCAAGAAAACAUAGUUAAUUCCACAAAGGCAAAAACUUUCGGUAUGGUUAGAACAUGAGCUUUCCAUUAUCCUUAACCCUGUGAUGCUUCCUUAGUCAAGGAUUUGCUUCAGUUAGGGUUAACUACUGCAAGUACCACCUAAGACACUGUCAUCUUACAAACCCCUAAGGAUUUGUAGCAUCCCAACUUAACUAAUAAAGGGUUAGACAAAUCUGGAGCUAAAUUACCAAAACUUAUUUUUGAGAUGCAAUCCACUUCUACAAAGGGAAAAGCAAUUGGAGCCAUGGAACAUGUGAAUGACCAUGCUAGCCAGCAGAGUGACUCAGGACAGACACUUCCUAAACCACAGCCACUAGUCAUUUCAGAGCUGGACUUUGUAAACUACCUGGAAACACUGAUCUAAUUGCCCUAUUUAAAAUAUAGAUGUAUGGGUACUCCAUACUUAUAUAUUUAUAACUCUUUCUACUUUAUUUGGUGAUUAUGGGCCAGACAGAAAAGGCACUUGCUUAAAUUUGUACUUAACCUUUAUAAUCGCCGUGGAUAGGAAUUUGCAUUAUAUAAAAUUCUGCUUCCAUUUUCUACAAAAGAAAAGAAAAAAGGUUCUUGACCUCCAAUACAUUUUGACAUUUUGAUUUCAAUGAAGUUUAAGUUUUAUUUUCUGUAAAACUUUUUAUGUCCCAGUCUGACAAGAUACAUGAAAAUUAUCUAAAGUUCUUUCCAAAUGUAUUUGGCCAUUAAUCCUCUUUUUGUUGUGUUCAGACAAAACUCUCAUUCAAACAUUGUCUAAUAAUAAAGGAAAAACUAUUAAUUUCAUUUUAUAGCCA